AGAGUUUGUACGUUUUUGUGUGUAAGCUGAGUUUGAAGUUUUGUGUGUCGGUAUUUCCUCAGCGUAACCAAUCAGCCGCCCAAGUUUCGAUUCUCAGUCGGAACCCCGUUCUUUUUACAUUAGUAAUAUCACUUGCAAAGGCAUGAACUCCAAAACCUCCCGAUUCCUCUUCUCUCCCCACUGCCUCUAGCUCCUUUCACAUUCUUCUACAUACCUUUGAUGGGACACCAAUGCUGUCUCUUUUAAAGGGAUUUUGUUUCCACUUUGAAAAGAGAA